rnacentral:rRNA from 1 species
UGGGGAAUCUUGCACAAUGGGGGCAACCCUGAUGCAGCGACGCCGCGUGAGCGAUGAAGCCCUUCGGGGCGUAAAGCUCUUUCGACCGGAACGAUAAUGACGGUACCGGGAGAAGAAGCUGCGGCUAACUACGUGCCAGCAGCCGCGGUAAUACGUAGGGUGCGAGCGUUUAUCGGAAUUACUGGGCGUAAAGCGUGCGCAGGCGGUUUUGUAAGACAGAUGUGGAAUCCCGGGGCUUAACUUGGGAACUGCGUUUGUGACUGCAAGGCUAGAGUACGGCAGAGGGGGGUGGAAUUCCACGUGUAGCAGUGAAAUGCGUAGAGAUGUGGAGGAACACCGAUGGCGAAGGCAGCCCCCUGGGCCUGUACUGACGCUCAUGCACGAAAGCGUGGGGAGCAAACA